rnacentral:miRNA from 1 species
GUGAGUACCAUGCAUUCAAUCC